AACGAACGCUGGCGGCAGGCCUAACACAUGCAAGUCGAGCGGACCUUUCGGGGUCAGCGGCGGACGGGUGAGUAACGCGUGGGAAUAUGCCCUUCUCUACGGAAUAGUCCUGGGAAACUGGGGGUAAUACCGUAUACGCCCUUUGGGGGAAAGAUUUAUCGGGGAAGGAUUAGCCCGCGUUGGAUUAGGUAGUUGGUGGGGUAAUGGCCUACCAAGCCGACGAUCCAUAGCUGGUUUGAGAGGAUGAUCAGCCACACUGGGACUGAGACACGGCCCAGACUCCUACGGGAGGCAGCAGUGGGGAAUCUUAGACAAUGGGGGCAGCCCUGAUCUAGCCAUGCCGCGUGAGUGAUGAAGGCCUUAGGGUUGUAAAGCUCUUUCAGCUGGGAAGAUAAUGACGGUACCAGCAGAAGAAGCCCCGGCUAACUCCGUG
rnacentral:rRNA from 1 species